UCGAUUCAUCAGCCUUAGUGUG
rnacentral:siRNA from 1 species